rnacentral:rRNA from 1 species
CGCCCGCCGGCGACCGGCGCACGGGUGAGUAACACGUAUGCAACCUGGCCGCCACAGGGGGAUAACCCGCGGAAACGCGGCCUAAUACCCCGUGACGCCACCGGAGGGCAUCCUCCGGGUGGCCAAAGGAGCGAUCCGGUGGCGGAUGGGCAUGCGGCGCAUUAGCUAGACGGCGGGGUGACGGCCCACCGUGGCGACGAUGCGUAGGGGUUCUGAGAGGAAGGCCCCCCACACUGGGACUGAGACACGGCCCAGACUCCUACGGGAGGCAGCAG